rnacentral:rRNA from 1 species
UACGUAGGGUGCAAGCGUUGUCCGGAAUUAUUGGGCGUAAAGAGCUCGUAGGCGGUUUGUCGCGUCGGCCGUGAAAUCUCCACGCUUAACGUGGAGCGUGCGGUCGAUACGGGCAGACUUGAGUUCGGUAGGGGAGACUGGAAUUCCUGGUGUAGCGGUGAAAUGCGCAGAUAUCAGGAGGAACACCGGUGGCGAAGGCGGCGUCCUGGACCAACACUGACACUGAUGAGCGAAAGCCAGGGGAGCAAACGGG